UGGUGUUACAGCUCUUUUAGAAUCUGUCCAGCAGGUGGUUUCCCGGUCUUUACCAGUAAGCCCCC
ensembl:snRNA U7 U7 small nuclear RNA